UGCAGCUGAACACUCUCAGGGUGGAUAAUGGAGGACCCAAGAGGCUAAAGCCAGGUCUGACAAAGUAUGCCUGUUGUCUCACACUGGACCCGGACACAGCCGAUAUCGACCUCAUUCUGUCUAAAGACAACAAGAUGGUGACAGGGGCAAGAUGGCAAGAGCACCAGUCGAGUCAGCAGUUAGGAGUACUGUGUCGAAAUGGUCUGACCGGUCGCUGUUACUGGGAGGUCCAGUGGAAAGGAUGCGUUUCUAUAGGGGUGACCUACAGAGGAAUCAACAGGCAUGGCAGGGAUGCUGCUUGCUGGGUUGGAAACAAGUCCUGGAUGCUGCUCUGCUCUAAGGACAAGUACUCAGUCUUGUCCAAUAACAAAGCAGAGAAACAGCUUUGUCCCUGUUUGUCUCACAGAGUUGGAGUGUAUCUGGACUGGCCUGCUGGCAUUCUGUGCUUCCUCAUACAGUUCCGUAAAAGGGUAUUCCGCCUCCACACCUUCCACUGCACAUUCACUGAGCCAGUCUACCCUGAAUUCAGGUUCUUGGUUUCAAAUAGUGUGCGUGAGUGCUCGGUAUCUUUGUGUGAGCUGUAGAAACAAGAGUUACCUUAAUGCUAACCAACAAGUGCUGACAGAUAGAUAUGCACAGAGCAUCUAAACUGUUUAGCUACAUGUCACAGGAUAUUUUUCAUCUUUACAUCUUAAUAUAUCUUAUUUUUGUGGUAACAUGAAGUCCUGGAGUGAAGCAACAUAUUUAGCUAUAAGAAAAUCUGAUGGGUCAAGGACGUAGAUAUAUAAUCAGCAAGAUAGAGCCUAUUCAGUCUAAUGAGAACACCUCGUCUGGCACAUGCGCCAACGAUGGAUCAAAGACUUUACGUUUUGACAAUGUCACAGAUUUCUACAUCACUCACUCUCAGCUUGAGGAAAGUUUUAUGAAUACACAACCUCAAUGAUUGACAUUGUUUGCAGCAGUUGUGUCCCGUCAACGGUUUUUACACGUCUUUUUUAACUAGUUCUAAUAUAUAUAUGCAGAAUACUGAUGACUAAAACAGACUUUGUUAGAGAAAUGCAGAUUUCUAUUUGCCUUUGGUCGGUCGUGUUCGUAAGAGUUACUGUUACGUACAACUCUGUUGCUGGUUUGUUUUGUUGAUUUGAUUGUUCAGUUUGCAGAUUACAAAUAUCUCAUGCUCUCUUUCUUUCUUUGUUGUCCUUCACUCAGAGUUCAUCGUCUUUUCUCUUUGUUAGUUUAGUCAGUUUACAUUCAUUUUUGGGUGGCAGAGUGAAGAGUUGAUGAGACAAAGUGCACGGUGAUGUUUCCCCGUGC